UUUAAAAAAGUGGAUCUGUUUUCCAAGACAUUACAACAAAAGAGACAGCAACUUCCGUUUUGAUGCUUUUAAUUUGAUAUCCAAAGGAAGUCACAUGUCAAUUUCAUGACAGGAAGUUGACACAGUUGUUUAUCUUCCGUCAGCGGCGCCGGUGGAGUUGUAGCUAACGGAGGAAUAUAUCCGCCCAGUGCGUUGUUGGAAAGGAGUGACAGUCAAAGGCAAAAGAAGACAGAGAGGGCACCUUUAUCCUGGCUGCACGUGGGAGUGGUCACGCAGCUGGCCCAAGAGGUGCAAUCAGUGUGAGCCACAGGAAGUCAGAGGGAGGAGAGCGACAUGAGGCAGCAGCUGCGUUUCACAGAGGAGAUCUCGAUCUUCGAGAGAGCAGGUCAGGAGAGGAUGGAGGGCGAGGAGGCUCCAAGCCACAGGCCCAGACUGGGCCCAGAACUGAGCUGGACGUACUCUACAAGCUGUCCCACAGACGAGAGCAGGUCAGGAGAGGAUGGAGGGCGAGGAGGCUCCAAGCCACAGGCCCAGACUGGGCCCAGAACUGAGCUGGACGUACUCUACAAGCUGUCCCACAGACGGAGGAGGAGGAGCAGGAGGAGGGGAAAAAGACGCCGACGCCGUACUAGGGGAACAGGAGGAGGAGGAGGAGGAGGAGGAGGAGGAGGAGAGAGGAGGAAGAGGGGCUCCUUCAGACAGACCCAGAGAACCAAAAGUGGCAGAUUGAGACGAUGUCGGCCCGGCGCCUCGCCAAUUCUCUGCCCCGCACCGGACGCAGACUUCACCCCCGUGGCCUCAGACAACACCAAAGCUCUCCUGAGCUGGAGGUGUACACAUAGCACGGCAGGCCCUGGAUGGCAACAUCCUUGCAGAGGCUCCCAAAGGAGAUGGAGGGAGGUUUGCUCCUCAACACGCUGACCUUCAUGUCCUGCGUGGCCUUUAUCCAGAAUGGAGCCUACGUAGACCAUGUGCAUCUUCAAAAUCUUUGCCACCAAAUGGGCCUUGCCGCAGGCCAGACUGCAGCAGCUGCUGAUCCCGGGGAAACUCACCCUGGACAAAGUGAAGAAUGAGGAUUUGGAGGCUGCGUCAGACUGUCCCCUACAAGUUGCAGAAUCAAGCUGCCCUCAUCCCGUCCCUGCCACCGCCACCCACCAAAUUGGAGGACUUUGGCCAGCCCCAGGAAGAGCGGUCUGUUGGAAGAAGAUAUGGGUCUGUUGGAGGCGUUGGAUCUGUCGGUGAAAGUGGAAGAGAAGGGUCUGUCAGACGAAAGUGAAGGAUCUUAUGGUUUGCCAGCUUACCAAGUGCAGGCUAAAGAAACUGUUCAACUGAAAAAAGAUGCACGUUUUAUUUGAAUUAGAGUGACACUGAAUGACCAAAGUAAAUGUUAAAUGUAAGAAAGUAAGUGUAUAAUGCAAUAUGUUAUAACAUAAUAGUUUAUAUAAUGGUAUAUAAUAGUUGUUAUUGCAUGCUGGAUGCUUGGAGUUGCGAUUUUCCCUCCCGUUGUCCUCAGUCCCUGGAAACUGAGCAUUGCACUGACGAGCUUUGUUCUGUAACUGUCUUUGUGAAUGUUUUAAUGUGCCCACAUGAACGCAGUCAGACUGAUAGCUAGUGGGAUUGCUGCGCUAGGUCCUGUCUAGACUCAGAGUCUACGGAAGGCUUUUCAAAGCUGAGCUGAAGUCGGAGGCAAGCACAGCUUGCUUAGGUCUGUAGCUCUCCACCCACAUCACAGAUCUGAUCCCCCUCUGCAUAGGUAAUGCCUAUAAUAAUGAUUGUUAGUAUUGUUGUUGUUAUUAUUAGGUCAAAGUCAUGUUCUUGUCUGUAGACACUUAUUUUGAGAAAAGUAUGUGUUUGCAUUGGUGU